UACGAAGGGGGCUAGCGUUGUUCGGAAUCACUGGGCGUAAAGGGCGCGUAGGCGGCCGCUCAAGUCGGGGGUGAAAGCCUGUGGCUUAACCACAGAAUUGCCUUCGAUACUGUUUGGCUUGAGACCGGAAGAGGUUAGUGGAACUGCGAGUGUAGAGGUGAAAUUCGUAGAUAUUCGGAGGAACACCAGUGGCGAAGGCGGCUCACUGGUCCAUUACUGACGCUGAGGUGCGAAAGCGUGGGGAGCAAACAGG
rnacentral:rRNA from 1 species